CAACCCUCGAACCCCUCCGGGGGGUCGGCGUUGGGGAUCGGCCCCUCACCGGGCCGCCCCCGAAAUACAGUGGCGGUCUCGCCGCAGCCUCUCCUGCGCAGUAGUUUGCACACUCGCACCGGGAGCGCGGCGCGGCCACAGCCGUAAAACACCCCAAACUUCUGAAAUG
rnacentral:rRNA from 2 species